ensembl:lncRNA
CCUCACCUCCCCCGCCCCUCCUCCCUCAGAGCCAGAUUUGGGCGAAAAAGGUGCCAGACACUCGAACCCAUAUAGAGAGUCACUCUGCUGGAGAUGGAGAAGAAGAAAGAAAUAAUGAUGUAAGGAGAUGUGUGUGUGUGUGUGUGUGUGUGUGUGUGCGUGUGCGUGUGCGAGAGCCGGAGUGGUCUUCCAUGUGUCUCGCUCACACAAGUGUUAGCGUGUUAGCUUGUUAGCUUGCCGUUUGGCCCGCGCGGAUUGUCCCCUGACAACCUUGAUGAGUUUCACUCUGCGAGGCGCUAACUAGAGCGCAGAUGCUCGGCCGCGUACGCCACGUUUUGCUCGACGCUCUCUCUCCACUUAACGUUUCAAUGCCUGGAAUGGACCAAUCAGAGGAGGUGAGGGGGGGGGGGGGGGGCGGGUCUCUGAACAAUAUUGCCAAAACAUUUGAUGGUGAUAGAAAUAAAGAAAAAAAAGAUGGUUUGCACCACAGAAGCAAGCUCAUCCGCUGUUACCUUGAUGCCUUUCUGCGCUUCCACAUCGAAGAGGCAAAUACUACUUCUCACCGCUACGCUGAUCCGACAGACUUGGUUACCUUGCAAAUAACAAUUCAAAUCAACAGCCAUCAAAUUACUUAAACAAAAGUAAAAAGGUAUCAAAUUAAUAAAAUAUGUAUUUGAUUGGUAAGCCGUGAUUUAAAGAGAAGGGAGAUUUGCUGACGCAUACUUUUACUUAAAGGGGCGGUUUGUGGGUUUUAGUGGCCUCUGGUGGUGAGUUUGCAGGUUGCAUCCAGCGUGUCAUCCCUUGCUCAUGCCUCCUUUCUAUUAUAUUAUAUUGCAUUUGGAUCAAAACCGGUAAAUGUGCCCUUCAUAUGAGGCUUUGAAUGUUUACUAAAUGUUUGCACUGCGUAGUAGCUUCAGUACAAUUUACAACGCAUCACUGCUAAAGUCUAGUCGCUCUAUUUUUGGACCGUAUCCACUUACAGUACACUCUGUGUAUUGAUCAGGAUGGUUUUAACAGACUGCUGUGAGGUCCAUUAACCUGUGGUGAUGACAAAGCAUUAAAAGACUAAUGUGUCCCUGGAGGGGAGGUGUGGGGAGGGGUAAGAGGAGCAGGACAGCUGAGCAGACAACACCACUCUGCACCGUGAAGUGGUGAUAGCUGUGAAGAUGACGCUCGCAUCAUUUGUGUGUAUUAUGUGGUUAUGCGCAUGCUCUCACCGAUGCUAAAUCAGUAUUUGAUUUUCACUUUCACUGCGCCUCAUCGGCCAUGUGAAAUACAGUUUGCCAUGUUGAGGUCGAGGUCGUUGAUGUUCAUUGGGUCGAGGUGGUUGAAGGUCGUUGAAUCGAGGUGGUUGAUGUUCGUUGGGUCGAGGUGGUUGAUGUUUGUUGGGUCGAGGUGGUUGAUGUUUGUUGGGUCGAGGUGGUUGAAGGUCGGUGGGUUGAGGUGGUUGAAGGUCGUUGAAUCGAGGUGGUUGAUGUUCGUUGGGUCGAGGUGGUUGAAGGUCGGUGGGUCGAGGUGGUUGAAGGUCGGUAAGUCGAGGUGGUUGAUGUUCGUUGGGUCGAGGUGGUUGAUGUUUGUUGGGUCGAGGUGGUUGAUGUUUGUUGCGUCGAGGUGGUUGAAGGUCAUUGAAUCGAGAUGGUUGAUGUUCGUUGGGUCGAGGUGGUUGAAGGUCGUUGAAUCGAGGUGGUUGAAGGUCGUUGGAUGAAGGUGGUUGAAGGUCGUUGGAUGAAGGUGGUUGAAGGUCGUUGGAUGAAGAUGGUUGUGUAGGGCACCGUUGUCCGUGGUGCUGAAACUCAGCAGAUGCACAUAAACAUGCUUCCUUGCGUCUGCUUUGUUAAUUAUUCUUUCAUUAAUAAAGGUUUUCUUUGUAUUUGAAGCAGUAGCCUCUUGUUGACGUCUAACAGCUUUUUGCAUGAUAGAAAUGCCCCUUAGCAGAAUGUUAAGAUGAAGAGGAAAAGAAGAAGAAAAAUAAAGGAAGCACAAAAGUACAACCAUGCGGGUUGUAAGUAGUGUAAAGGAUCAUAAAAGUCACAUAUCACAUCUCAUUGGAUCCGCUCAACGGAACAAAUUAGAGACUUUUAGAGAUCACGUUUGUCUUCAAGGCAAAAAAUUGCAUUCAACCGCUCUGAAGUAUCAAAUAUUAUCAGUAUAAUGUAUUUAUAUUCAGUGUAACGUCUGAUUAUAUGACUUUGUUAUCAUCAACUAAAAGCUGAAUAGACCGUUCUAUUUGAAGAUAAAGAGAAAGAGACUCCUCCACCCAGAGGGGAGAAUAUGAUCAACUUUCUGUAAGUACAGGAGGAAAUCCUGGAGAAAACACGUUCCUCCUCCUCUUCCUCCUCCUCUACUCCCCAGUGUCCUUUCUCCUCUUCCUCCUCUGUCCCGUCUUUGUGUUGUGGCCCCUUUUCAGAGGCUUUUUCAGGGGCUGAAGUGGCGCUCGGCUACGCUGAAGUGUCUCCACUGCUGUGCCCGAGCCUGCAAUUCACCCACUGUGCGUGUGUGUGUGUGUGUCUGUGUCUGUGCACGUGUGUGUGUGCGCGUGCAUGUGUGUGUGUGUGUGUGUGCACGUGUGUCUGUGUGUGUGCCUGAGCCUGCAAUUCACCAAUUUCACCGCUAAUUAGCCAACAAAGGCUACCGGCAGGGAGGAGCUGAGGAGGAGGAGGAUGGAGAGGGGGCGGCAUACGCGGGAGGUCCAGGCCUUAGG